AGUGGAUUAGCUCAGUUGGUUAGAGCGUUGGUCUGAUAAGCCAAAGGCCACCGGUUCAAGUCUGGUAUCCACUA
rnacentral:tRNA from 1 species